UACGGGGGGGGCAAGCGUUGUUCGGAAUUACUGGGCGUAAAGGGCUCGUAGGCGGCCAACUAAGUCGGACGUGAAAUCCCUCGGCUUAACCGGGGAACUGCGUCCGAUACUGGAUGGCUUGAGUUUGGGAGAGGGAUGCGGAAUUCCAGGUGUAGCGGUGAAAUGCGUAGAUAUCUGGAGGAACACCGGUGGCGAAGGCGGGUCUCUGGGCAGUAACUGACGGCUGAGGAGCGAAAGCGUGGGGAGCGAACAGG
rnacentral:rRNA from 1 species